rnacentral:tRNA from 1 species
CCUCAGUUGGUUAGAGCGUGGUGUUGAUAACACCAAGCUCAUGGGUUCAAUUCCCAU